rnacentral:lncRNA from 1 species
UGGGCAUCCCAUAUCUAUGGUAGUUGAUUGUUGAUUAAACUUGGUCUAUUUGUCAAGUAUCUAAAUAAAUCAAGUGUGAUUUGCUCCCUCAUGAUCUCACCUCCAAUGUAGGAUUCAUGAUGCAUAUUUUAUCUUCUCGGAUUUACUUUUAUGAUUCAAUUUUAAGGUCAUUUCCAUAAUAUGAGAGACCAUUGCUACAUAAAGCCUACCUACAUAAUUGUGAUCACCUUCAUAGUCAUUUGAUGAUUUGACUCUAAUCAAGGUGGAUCGUUAUCUUUUGUUGAAUCGAAA